rnacentral:Y_RNA from 1 species
AGCUGGUCCCAAGGUAGUGAGUUAUUUCAAUUGAUUGUGCCGUCAGUUACAGAUUGAACUCCUUGUUCUACUCUUUCCCCUCUUCUCACUACUGUACUUGAUUAGUCUAAA